AUACGGAGGGUGCAAGCGUUACUCGGAAUCACUGGGCGUAAAGCGCGCGCAGGCGGCUAUUUAAGUUGGAUGUGAAAGCCUACGGCUCAACCGUAGAACUGCAUCCAAAACUAUUUAGCUAGAGUGUGUGAGAGGAAGAUGGAAUUAGUUGUGUAGGGGUAAAAUCCGUAGAGAUAACUAGGAAUACCAAAAGCGAAGGCAAUCUUCUGGAACACUACUGACGCUGAGGCGCGAAAGCGUGGGGAGCAAACGGGAUUAGAAACCCUAGUAGUCC
rnacentral:rRNA from 1 species